CGGGAAUUCUUCCCGUUUUCAAAUCCGGCGCCUUCGGGUUCCUCCGUGACGGUGUCAUGUUUCUGGACUGACAGAAACAACCGUCACCCAGGCGAGGUCUAGCCCCGGCCCCUCCAGCCCCUCUGUGUGUCCCGGCCGCGCUGCGGCGCAGGAGCGCCAAGGAACAGGACUAUAUUUGGGUAAGGACGGCUCUCCGGUAUGCGCCCGGAGCGGGGCACAGAGCCGCACACCCACCGCUCCGGCGGGCGUUGCAGUACACCGUCCUGCAAGGAGAAGGAGGGCAGCCCCGGAACUCCUACACCAAUUCUUUACCUGUAAGCCAUCUAAUUUGAUUUGAUCACCUCGAUCCAAAACCACCGAAAGGGGGAUUGCAUUCUUCACCCGCUGUUUUCGUUUUCGCUGAAAGUCUUCCAACUCGUCUCACGUCUUGUCCCUUGCGCGAAGCGGUCUCGGAAUACCCAGUUUUCGCCUCAGCUGGGUUAUUUCUUCGGAGCAGGACUUGCUGCUGUGUUCCCGGGAGGUGUUGUAGUGACAGACCGUGAUCUUACAGGCUGUGACGCUUCCUCGUAUCGAGGAACUAUUCGCCGGUAUCGUUUUCUUGGGAUCCGGAGAACCCAUUCUGUUUGAUCCUGGGAGAGCCUGGAGGUUUUGGGUGCCGUGGGCCAGGGAUACCUGGUGGGGAUCGUCCUCGGAUCCAGCCCUGUGCCCUGCCUGCCUCCCCCCCUCAACUGGGGGCCAUGGUCCCUCGGCCCUCAUGAGCUCUACCAUGUGGUACAUCAUGCAGAGCGUCCAGAGCAAGUACUCGCUGUCGGAGAGGCUGAUCCGCACCAUCGCCGCCAUCCGGUCCUUCCCGCAUGACAACGUGGAGGACCUCAUCCGCAGGGUAAGCAGGAUCUCCGCCCC